UUCACAUUAACUUAGGCAUGGCUUGGGGUUCGGCUAUCACUUAUCGAAGCACGAUGCUAAAAAUGGAGAAGCAAGUGAAUCCAGUGCCCUCUUGUGAAUUCAAAUGAAAUCCUUGUGAGAGUCCAAAUAGUCGUUAUCAGGAUGUUCAAAAUAUCUGAGACUAGAAUGUAACGGGAAAAAAAAAAAUUGAACGUUGUUAUGGAUGGCAGGAAAAAGCAAAAAAAGCAUAUCGGGGUUAUAUAAAACCAUUUCGUCUUUCAUUUACAACAAGUAUUCUUCCUGUUAGUGUUUCGUUAUGUUUCUGUUCUCUCUCUCUGUAAUAUUUUUUUUUCUCUGUCUUCUAUAGGAUCUCUUCGUUUGUUCAGGAUUUUUCAUCUUUUUUUUUGUUUUGUUUUCUCUAGGAUUUUUUAUCUUUCUGGUAAGGGUUUUGUUACAGCGUGCACGCUGGUCUGUAUUUCCAUUUUAUUUUGGUUGGUUUCUCUGUGAUUUUUAACCUUUUUUUGGGUUGGUUUUUCUGUGAUUUUUUGCCAGUUUUUUUGGUUGGUUUCUCUGUUUUACAUAGGAACAGGCUGAACAGGGGAAGAUGCAGAGCAAAAGGAAGAGACAGGGCAAAAGGCAGCGACAACUGAUAGAGGCAAAAUCUUUGUUCUAGACUAGAGAAUGAAUUUGUGCAGGAAUAUUUGGCAAGUGAGGAAGGAUGGAGGAGUUGUGCUACAAGUUGAUUCUGCUAUUUUGGAUUGAACGAUAAAACCACCAAGAAGGGAUGGAGGAACUGAGAGAGAGGUUAAGAGGGACAUUCUCAUCUGCCUGAAAUUGAAGGCUCUGCGCUAGUGUACAUUCAGGGAUAAACAAUUCAAGCAGAUAGUGCAAGCUCACAAACCACUCACAGCAACCUCCUCAACGUAAAGUAUUGGAUCCUGAUGCAAAUUUUCAACAUGUCGGAGGCGAAAUCAUUGCAGUUAUACCUAGUUGUUCUUGGAACAUGUUGGUGACUGCAAAGAAAGUUGUUUUCAUUAUUGAUUUAGAGCAGCAAGGGAUGGGAUUAGGUAUUUACAAUUUUUUAGUCAUUUUUUGGUCAAUUACAUUGACUUGGUAUGGUAGUUUUGUAACAUGUACAAAUACAAUGAUUAAUAAAAGAAAGUUAUUGAAAGGGGUUAAACCCCUUUCAGAGACUGAAGGGAAUGGUCAUUGGCCAUGGCCAUUUCUUAAGGUCAUGUGUUU